CGCCGAAUGAUCAAGGGUUCCUGGGUCAAGCUAAUCUGCCCAGGGUGAGUCGGGACCUAAGGCGAGGCCGACAGGCGUAGUCGAUGGACAACGGGUUGAUAUUCCCGUACCCGUGUGUGCGCGCCCAUGGUGAAUCAGUGAUACUAACCGCCCUGAAACCACAGGAUGUCCUUCGGGACACGAGUUGGCGGAUGCGUGGGACCUGAUCUGGUAGUAGCCAAGCGAUGGGGUGACGCAGGAAGGUAGCUGGGCCAGUCAGUGGUUGUACUGGUGUAAGAGUGUAGGCCGUGACAUAGGCAAAUCCGUGUCACAUUAAGGCUGAGACUUGAUGCAUACCCGUUGUGGGGAAUUCAGUGAUCCUAUGCUGCCGAGAAAAGCCUCUAGUGAGUUCAUACACGGCCCGUACCCCAAACUGACACAGGUGAUCAGGUAGAGAAUACCAAGGCGAUCGAGAGAACUGUGGUUAAGGAACUCGGCAAAAUGCCCCCGUAACUUCGGGAGAAGGGGGACCAUGCCCGGUGAACAUCUUCACGGUGGGAGCUGGGUGUGGUCGCAGAGACCAGAGAGAAGCGACUGUUUACUAAAAACACAGGUCCGUGCGAAGACGUAAGUCGAUGUAUACGGACUGACGCCUGCCCGGUGCUGGAAGGUUAAGAGGACCGGUUAGCCGUAAGGCGAAGCUGAGAAUUUAAGCCCCAGUAAACGGCGGUGGUAACUAUAACCAUCCUAAGGUAGCGAAAUUCCUUGUCGGGUAAGUUCCGACCUGCACGAAUGGCGUAACGACUUCUCUGCUGUCUCGACCACAGACUCGGCGAAAUUGCACUACGAGUAAAGAUGCUCGUUACGCGCGGCAGGACGAAAAGACCCCGGGACCUUUACUAUAGCUUGGUAUUGGCGUUCGGUUCGGUUUGUGUAGGAUAGGUGGGAGACUGCGAAGCAUGCACGCCAGUGUGUGUGGAGUCGUUGUUGAAAUACCACUCUGAUCGUAUUGGACGUCUAACCUCGGCCCAUGAUCUGGGUUAGGGACAGUGCCUGGUGGGUAGUUUAACUGGGGCGGUUGCCUCCUAAAGAGUAACGGAGGCGCCCAAAGGUUCCCUCAGCCUGGAUGGCAAUCAGGUGUUGAGUGCAAGUGCACAAGGGAGCUUGACUGUGAGACUGACACGUCGAGCAGGGACGAAAGUCGGGACUAGUGAUCCGGCACCGGCGAGUGGAAGCGGUGUCGCUCAACGGAUAAAAGGUACCCCGGGGAUAACAGGCUGAUCCUCCCCAAGAGUCCAUAUCGACGGGAUGGUUUGGCACCUCGAUGUCGGCUCGUCGCAUCCUGGGGCUGGAGUAGGUCCCAAGGGUUGGGCUGUUCGCCCAUUAAAGCGGCACGCGAGCUGGGUUUAGAACGUCGUGAGACAGUUCGGUCUCUAUCCGCCGCGCGCGUAAGAAACUUGAGGAAGGCUGUCCCUAGUACGAGAGGACCGGGACGGACGAACCUCUGGUGUGCCAGUUGUUCCACCAGGAGCAUGGCUGGUUAGCUACGUUCGGAAGGGAUAACCGCUGAAAGCAUCUAAGCGGGAAGCCUGUUCCAAGAUGAGGUUUCUCACACCUUGCGUGGUUAAGGCCCCCUACAGACAUGGGGUUGAUAGGCCGGAACUGGAAGCGCAGCAAUGCGUGGAGGUGACCGGUACUAAUAGGCCGAGGGCUUAC
rnacentral:rRNA from 1 species